CCAUGUUCCUUUUGGUUCUUCUUU
rnacentral:siRNA from 1 species